CCUACGGGUGGCAGCAGUGAGGAAUAUUGGUCAAUGGGCGAGAGCCUGAACCAGCCAAGUCGCGUGAGGGAGUACUGCCCUAUGGGUUGUAAACCUCUUUUGUCGGGGAGCAAAAGCCGGACGUGUCCGGCUGUGAGAGUACCCGAAGAAAAAGCAUCGGCUAACUCCGUGUCAGCAGCCGCGGUAAUACGGAGGAUGCGAGCGUUAUCCGGAUUUAUUGGGUUUAAAGGGUGCGCAGGCGGAUUUUUAAGUCAGCGGUAAAAUCGUGGGGCUCAACCCCAUCCAGCCGUUGAAACUGGGGAUCUAGAGUGUGCGAGAGGUAUGCGGAAUGCGUGGUGUAGCGGUGAAAUGCAUAGAUAUCACGCAGAACCCCGAUUGCGAAGGCAGCAUACCGGUGCACAACUGACGCUCAGGCACGAAAGCGUGGGUAUCGAACAGGAUUAGAUACCCCAGUAGUC
rnacentral:rRNA from 1 species